AGAUCCCAGAUGUCAAAUAGCAGCAGCAGCUGGCUGCGUGACAGAUCCCUUAGGCUGCAGCUGGGUGAACACUCCUGGACUUAUUCUAGCUGUGUCAUAUAGAUGGAGGGAAGAUGAUGUUUUCUAUGAAAUAUCUGGAAACAGAUGGAUUCCUCUGGCUUGUGAACCUGUAUUUCUUUAAUGGUCCCACUAUUGUACAGAAUCAUAAAGGCAAUUCCAUAGAAUUCCCUGUCUGAAGAAGAAAUGUAAGUCAAGACAGGAAAAAAAUCCAACCAAGAGAAACAUGUCAAGAUGGCAUUGAGCUUAUCCAUGUACACUUCUGUCAGUGAGGAAAGAGCUACUUUUCUGUUCAAAUCUUCUUGAAAUUGGAGGCCUAGAGAAAAACAUCUAUCACAGGAAAACAGGGUUCUUGUCAAGUGCUAACAACUGUGUUUAAAUGCUGUAUUAAAAUGCUUGAAUUGUAA